AAGCACAGGAGGUUCCGACUCACUAUGAGGGGGGAUCUUCAGUACUGUGAGGGUGACGGAACUCUAGAACAGGCUGCCCAGAGAGGUAGUGGAUUCUCCUUCUCUGGAGAUAUUCAAAACCCACCUGGAUGCCAUCCCGUGCAACAUGCUCUAGGGGAUCCUGCUUGGCAGGGGGGUUGGACUAGAUGAUCUUCAGAAGUCCCUUCCAACAUUGCCCAUUCUGGUGUAUGGAAGUCUUAAAUAUAU